CAAUAGCGUAUAUUAAAGUUGUUGCAGUUAAAAAGCUCGUAGUUGGAUUUCGGGGCAGCCUGGCUGGUCCGCCGCAAGGCGAGUACUGGUCAGCCGCCCUUCCUCCCGAAAGCCCCGACUGCUCUUCGUUGCAGUGGUCGGGUAGUUCGGGACGUUUACUUUGAAAAAAUUAGAGUGUUCAAGGCAGGCCUACGCCUGAAUACAUUAGCAUGGAAUAAUGGAAGAGGACCUCGGUCCUAUUUUGUUGGUUUCCAGGGCCGAAGUAAUGAUUAAGAGGGACAGUUGGGGGCAUUCGUAUUUAAUUGUCAGAGGUGAAAUUCUCGGAUUUAUGAAAGACGAACAACUGCGAAAGCAUUUGCCAAGGAUGUUUUCAUUAA
rnacentral:rRNA from 1 species